AUACGUCGAGCAGUGAGAGCUUCUAACAAUACUUCCAGAGCAUCUUCCAGUGCUUCACCCUGUUUUCCGAAAUCAACAGAGCUGAACUUUGGAACAAUUUGAAGCUCAGAGAGUAGGCUAGCUGCCGCUGCAGCAGUGCAGCCUCCUAAAGGACCUUGAUACUUGGAACAAGGACCUAUUGUUGGGAUGUUCAUUUCACCGUGGUGAUGGAGAUAUUUGAAUAUAAGAGCCGACAAAAGCUGAUUGAGGCCCAUUUCUGUUGGGUAGUUGGUAGAACACCAGAAUUGUCUAUUUAUAUUGAUAUGAAAUGGUAAUUACACGAAUUGAAAGA